UAUAGGUUUGGUCCCAGCCUUCCUGUUAACUUUCAAUAGACUUAUACAUGCAAGCAUCCACGCCCCGGUGAGUAACGCCCUUCGAAUCACACAGGACUAAAAGGAGCAGGUAUCAAGCACACACUCUUGUAGCUCACAACGCCUUGCUUAACCACACCCCCACGGGAGACAGCAGUAACAAAAAUUAAGCCAUAAACGAAAGUUUGACUAAGCCAUAUUGACUAGCGUUGGUAAAUCUCGUGCCAGCCACCGCGGUCAUACGAUUGACCCAAGCUAACAGGAGUACGGCGUAAAGCGUGUUAAAGCAUCAUACUAAAUAGAGUUAAAUUUUAAUUAAACUGUAAAAAGCCAUAAUUAUAACAAAAAUAAAUGACGAAAGUAACCCUACAAUAGCUGAUACACCAUAGCUAAGACCCAAACUGGGAUUAGAUACCCCACUAUGCUUAGCCCUAAACACAAAUAAUUAU
rnacentral:rRNA from 1 species